AGAGUUUGAUCCUGGCUCAGACGAACGCUGGCGGCGUGCCUAAUACAUGCAAGUCGAACGCUUUUUCUUUCACCGGAGCUUGCUCCACCGAAAGAAAAAGAGUGGCGAACGGGUGAGUAACACGUGGGUAACCUGCCCAUCAGAAGGGGAUAACACUUGGAAACAGGUGCUAAUACCGUAUAACACUAUUUUCCGCAUGGAAGAAAGUUGAAAGGCGCUUUUGCGUCACUGAUGGAUGGACCCGCGGUGCAUUAGCUAGUUGGUGAGGUAACGGCUCACCAAGGCAACGAUGCAUAGCCGACCUGAGAGGGUGAUCGGCCACACUGGGACUGAGACACGGCCCAGACUCCUACGGGAGGCAGCAGUAGGGAAUCUUCGGCAAUGGACGAAAGUCUGACCGAGCAACGCCGCGUGAGUGAAGAAGGUUUUCGGAUCGUAAAACUCUGUUGUUAGAGAAGAACAAGGAUGAGAGUAAAAUGUUCAUCCCUUGACGGAUCUAACCAGAAGCC
rnacentral:rRNA from 1 species